AACACACGAAUACACAAACACACAAACAUAGGUACAAUACCGGGAGUUACGACUGUCAGCUGAAGUGAAGAUAUAGCCUGUCACCUUUCACCACACACAUCUGUUGGUCAGACGGGCACGGUACUUAAGGCUGCAGCUGACCACUGAGUGACCACUGCGGAAGCAGCCCAUGCAGACAAGUUUGUGACAAAUCUGACGUCAGCAGCAGACGAGCAGACGUGAAAAGACAAUGGCGCGUCCCAACACAGCCACGUUCUUGUUGUCUCUGGCUACACUCACGGUACUGCUGAUGGAGGUACAAAGCAUCACCCUGAGCCCAGGAGACAGGUGUGAGCAGUGCGGUGACCGAUGUCCUCUCCACUACCAGUGUGCACCCUAUGACCUCCUCCCUACAAUCCGCUCCUCGUUCUUCUGUCAGGAAAAGAUAUCGGCCGGGG